AUUGAACGCUGGCGGCAUGCCUUACACAUGCAAGUCGAACGGUAACGGGCCUUCGGGUGCCGACGAGUGGCGCACGGGUGAGUAAUACAUCGGAACGUGCCCGAUCGUGGGGGAUAACGAGGCGAAAGCUUUGCUAAUACCGCAUACGAUCUACGGAUGAAAGCAGGGGACCGCAAGGCCUUGCGCGGACGGAGCGGCCGAUGGCAGAUUAGGUAGUUGGUGGGAUAAAAGCUUACCAAGCCGACGAUCUGUAGCUGGUCUGAGAGGAUGAUCAGCCACGCUGGGACUGAGACACGGCCCAGACUCCUACGGGAGGCAGCAGUGGGGAAUUUUGGACAAUGGGCGCAAGCCUGAUCCAGCCAUGCCGCGUGCAGGAUGAAGGCCUUCGGGUUGUAAACUGCUUUUGUACGGAACGAAAAGCCUUCUUUUAAUACAGGAGGGUCAUGACGGUACCGGAAGAAAAAGCACCGGCUAACUACGUG
rnacentral:rRNA from 1 species